CCAGGUUGGUGACAGUACAAAAAGAAAAAAAAUCUUUGUGGGAGCACCACAUUUUAAUCUCACAAGACUCCACUGAAGCACUUACAACAUAUGCGAACAGUGAUAUCCUAAAUGUCAGCGCUUUUUGUGCUAACAAAGACAGUCCAGCUGGCGGCGUGUAAGGCAGAAGCAGGUGAGGAAGAAGGAGGGUUUAGCUAUUGUUGUGAGCAGACACCACUGUCAGCAGCUGUGGAGAAACUUCUAUGGCACGCCAUGAGAACCUAACAAGGGCCUGCCGCCAGCCACCAAGUCCUGUUCCUAAACCACCCAUGGGAGGCUGAAUUAGCUGUUGAGGUUUGCAAGCGGGUUCGUGCUAUGCUACUAGCCACCAGCCACGAGACCAUAACAAUUAAGGGCCUACUGCCAGCCACCAUGGUGCAUAUGUGCAGAUCUCUCGGCUCACAUUUGAAGGUCGCCUACCCGCUAGCAUGACAGAAGGCACCUCUGUCCAUGACUUCUGGGUGGACUUGGCUUCAUGUCUGCUUCACAAGUGUCACCCGGCCACCACCGACAAAUCCACCUGCCAAGAGUGUGUGACACAAGCAGUCACUGUUUACAACUUCAAGGUACCUCUUACCACCUGUGGCAGUAUUGCCAGAACUAACGUCUGUGUCAAAUUCUUGUGCAAGUGUGCAAGGGACAAAACAGAAGUGGUCACUGUUUACAUCUUUAAAGUCCUAAACAAGCACACCAGACCAUGAAUGUACAGUGUCUGACAGCUCCAGUGGAAUACACAUCACGAUGGCUGGAGCCAUCCCUGUGUGGCACCAGCUAGCCUGUGACAAGCUGCAUACUUUUGCUUGCGACAACUGUGUGGGAACAAAAAAGGGACACCGCACAAGGAAAGGCUUUUAGGCAAUCUUAACGGCUUGCGGUGAGGGAAUUCUGAAAAGGUCUGAUGUGCCAUCUUGCAAUAAAGAAGCAACUUAUAUACCUAGUCUGUCUUGUGUUAGCAGGAGUCUGAUAAACGUAGACAGUACAAGUUCGUGGCUGGGGAAGG